GUCCAGGAGCCAACAGCCUCUCUGUGCAAACCAGACAACCCUGCAGGAACUGUGCUUGAAGAAACCGUGGAAACUGCCCCCAACCCUCCCGUCUCUAUUUCUUUCUCUGUUUUAUUAUCUCAUUCUUGGCUGUGAGGUAAACAGGAGAAAAUGAGAAGGUGGUUCUGGAGGACCCGACCGAAUUUGCUUUCGUGACAGGGUCAAGCGCCCUUUCCUCGCCGGCCGCAGCCCUCACCAAAGGGGAUUUGGGGGCCUCCGGACAGGGGUCCUGAAGGUUUUGAAUUGUUCAAUCUCUGGGGGUACAGGAACCCCUGCAGGAGGUUUCAAAGGCAAGAGUUUCGCAGAGAGAAAAAAACCAUGAACUUUGCAGGUUGGUGGCGGAAUCUGGUGAUUUAAGAAAACGUGUUUAAGCCUCGGCCGGGCCGCGCCUGGGCUGUCUGCGGUGCUCUUCCGGAAUUCUCUACAAUAUCUGGAAGUGACCAAGAAAAUUCCAGAACCCGGAGGCUGCGCCGUGGAGAUAAACAUGGGCACCUGGGUAUGUUUGUUUUUAUUGUUAGGACCUAUUUUAUCACAAGCAAAAAAAAGGAAGCUGCCCAGAAAUCCAGGGGUGAUGGAUAGAAGGCGAUGGGGCCUGCAGUGGCCCAACGGAUUCUAGAAUUUUCCUCUAGGAAGAUGCCCGGGAAUUUUAACCCUGUUGGCUCGACCCAGAAGCUCGGGGUGGCAGGGAAAGGAUCACUGUGGCCUUCCUUCCUUCCUUCCUUCCUUCCUGGAAUUUCGCUCUGUUGCCCAGGCUGGAGCGCAGUGACGUAAUCAUAGUUUGCUGCGGCCCUGACCCCAAUGGCACAAAUGAGCCUCCUGCCUCAAUCUCCUAAGUAGCUGGGA
rnacentral:lncRNA from 1 species